GACGAACGCUGGCGGCGUGCUUAACACAUGCAAGUCGAACGGAAAGGCCCUGCUUUUGUGGGGUGCUCGAGUGGCGAACGGGUGAGUAACACGUGAGUAACCUGCCCUUGACUUUGGGAUAACUUCAGGAAACUGGGGCUAAUACCGGAUAGGAGCUCCUGCUGCAUGGUGGGGGUUGGAAAGUUUCGGCGGUUGGGGAUGGACUCGCGGCUUAUCAGCUUGUUGGUGGGGUAGUGGCUUACCAAGGCUUUGACGGGUAGCCGGCCUGAGAGGGUGACCGGCCACAUUGGGACUGAGAUACGGCCAAGACUCCUACGGGAGGCAGAAGUGGGGAAUAUUGCACAAUGGGCGGAAGCCUGAUGCAGCAACGCCGCGUGCGGGAUGACGGCCUUCGGGUUGUAAACCGCUUUCGCCUGUGACGAAGCGUGAGUGACGGUAAUGGGUAAAGAAGCACCGGCUAACUACGUG
rnacentral:rRNA from 1 species